rnacentral:ncRNA from 1 species
AAAACGGCAUCGAUUGGGAGAGUACUUUUUACGAACAUAUCGUAGCGAAUCAGGGAUGGUGUAAGCCUGGUAUAUACAGUAAAAAGGAAAAUCGCCCAGGAGCUUCACACCGAAACAAUAGUAGGCUGUGACGAUUCAUUCACGUUACGAAUUUCAAGUGAACAGCAUUUGUCUGUUUAUAAGGGUGGUACCGCGGGUAAACUUUCUCGUCCCUACA